GCUGAACUUAAGCAUAUCAAUAAGCGGAGGAAAAGAAACCAACAGGGAUUGCCUCAGUAACGGCGAGUGAAGCGGCAACAGCUCAAAUUUGAAAUCUGGCUCUUUCAGAGUCCGAGUUGUAAUUUGUAGAGGAUGCUUCGGGUCCGGCUCCGGUCUAAGUCCCUUGGAACAGGGUGUCAUAGAGGGUGAGAAUCCCGUACGUGACCGGCGACCACGCCCAUGUGAAGCUCCUUCGACGAGUCGAGUUGUUUGGGAAUGCAGCUCAAAACGGGUGGUAAAUUUCAUCUAAAGCUAAACAUUGGCCAGAGACCGAUAGCGCACAAGUAGAGUGAUCGAAAGAUGAAAAGCACUUUGGAAAGAGAGUUAAACAGUACGUGAAAUUGUUGAAAGGGAAGCGCUUGCAACCAGACUUGCCCGUGGGCGAUCAGCCGGUAUUUUUACCGGUGCACUCGCCCGUGGUCAGGCCAGCAUCGGUUUGGGCGGUUGGAUAAAGACCCCCGGAACGUAGCUCCUCUCGGGGAGUGUUAUAGCCGGGGGUGCAAUGCGGCCCGCCCGGACCGAGGACCGCGCUUCGGCUAGGAUGCUGGCGUAAUGGUUGCAAGCGACCCGUCUUGAAACACGGA
rnacentral:rRNA from 1 species